rnacentral:rRNA from 1 species
UACGUAGGGGGCUAGCGUUAUCCGGAUUUACUGGGCGUAAAGGGUGCGUAGGUGGUUUCUUAAGUCAGGAGUGAAAGGCUACGGCUCAACCGUAGUAAGCUCUUGAAACUGGGGAACUUGAGUGCAGGAGAGGAAAGUGGAAUUCCUAGUGUAGCGGUGAAAUGCGUAGAUAUUAGGAGGAACACCAGUAGCGAAGGCGGCUCUCUGGACCGUAACUGACGCUGAGAUACGAAAGCGUGGGGAGCAAACA